GUGGAGUUGUGGAGUGACAGUCAGGGGAUCAACACCAUUAACCCCCCAUCCCCUGUGUGUCCCCCAUCACCUGUGUGUCACACCAUUAACCCCCCAUCCCCAGUGUAUAACCCACAUUGCACAACAUUUCCACCCCUAUCCCCAGUAUAUAACCCCCAUUAACCAUUCUGUAUCUAAAGGAUGUACCGAGUGCAUGCGCGGUACACACUUCAGGUU